GACGAACGCUGGCGGCGUGCUUAACACAUGCAAGUCGAGCGGUAAGGCCCUUUCGGGGGUACGACGAGCGGCGAACGGUGAGUAACACGUGGGUGACCUGCCCUCAGCUCUGGGAUAAGCCUGGGAAACCGGGUCUAAUACCGGAUAUGACUCCAUGACGCAUGUUGUGGGGUGGAAAGCCUUGUGCGGCUGAGGAUGGGCCCGCGGCCUAUCAGC
rnacentral:rRNA from 1 species